GCAAACUCAAGAGCUUUCACUCCACACUUGCCCACACGUUUUUUGCCUCCAAGCUUUCAAGUGCUCAAAUGUCUUAGCUUUCCAAAGCUUCAAAAGCUUUCCAACUUCUUCUUCUAAUCUUCUUGUUCGAUCAUCUCUACAAGUAAGAAGUGUUGUUUGCUUAAAUAUUUCACUUCUCUAAUCACCUCUUGUGUGUGUCCACUUUGGUUGAGAGGGUUGUCUCAAUAGUACCAAAGUGUGAGAGAAGGUUUUUGAGCUCAAUCAUAAAGCUCUAGUUUGGUUUUAUAGAGUUUCCGGGAAAACUCUUAGAUCGAAUCUACCUUGAAAGAUUUUUAGAUUUUUAAGAGUUCCUUGAUACUCUAAGGUGUGAGUCUACCCGUAAAAGACUGGCUUCUAAACGAAGUUAGCCUUAAUGCUUAGAAAGGUUUUUAAGAGUUCCUUUGAUACUCUAAGGUGUGAGUCUACCCGUAAAAGACUGGUUCCUAAGCGAAGUUAGCUUUAAAGCUUAGAAAGGUUUUUAAGAGUUCCUUUGAUACUCUAAGGUGUGAGUCUACCCGUAAAAGACUGGUUCCUAAGCGAAGUUAGCUUUAAAGCUUAGAGAGGUUUUUAAGAGUUUCCUUGAUACUCUAAGGUUUUGCCAUUAUCUUUAGGCUAGUGAAUUUCGACAGUUGGUCGGGACUGGAUUAGCCCUUGUUUGGGUGAACCAAUAUAAAUUCUCUUGUGUUGUUCUUUGUUAACUUUAGUUUUUUAUUUUUCAUCUAAAAACAACUAAACAACACUUAAUUGAAAAGGAUCCCUCUUCCAGUUAUCUGGUCAAAUACAGAGGUUGACUACUUUACGCAGAUCCCUCAUUCAGUUAUCUGGUCAACUAUCUGAGGUUAUAAUCAUUGCAUUAAAUCUUUAUUCAAAUAUUUGUUCAAGCAUUUACUUAUCAAAUAUAUAUAUCCAGUUAUCUGGCCAUUUACUCUAUAAUAUAAUUUGUGUUUGCAAUAUAACUUAGUAUUCAUAUACUCAAGUUAUUUACAACACUAUCAAAUAAGUUGACUCAGUAUUCAUAUACUGUAGUAAGUUUUGAAGAGUAAUAAUUACAAUAUUAUCUAAAAAUUAUAAUACUAUUAUUGUUCAACCAUUUGUGUCUUAAGUGUUUACAGGUAAUUCCGCAAUCACCCUGUAUAAAUCGAAAAGAGGUUAUUAUCCUCCCUUAUAGCCUCGGAUCACGAUCCAACAAAAACUACCAAAGAGGCAGAAAUUUCAACAACAAUUUCAGACUUCAAAGACCACAAGCCAGGGCAUACAACAGCUACUCUGAGGAGGUUGAAAACCAACAGUGGCAAGAAAAUGAAAACAACUAUGCAAUGGAAGAAAUGAAUCAGAAGUACUACACAACUGAAAAUGACAACUAGAACGACAAUGGAUAUCAAAAUGACACCCCCUGUCAAUCUGAAUAUCAGAAUGGGAGUCAAAACAACCAGGACAUAAUGGAACAACUGAGAUGUCUGCUCAACCAAAAUCAAAAUCAUCAAACAGAAGAAGAAAAGCACUACGUGCACAUGGGCAGGGCACAAACACAAUCAGAAACAAACAUGAACCCCAAUCACACUGGUAAGCCCCAAAAAUCACUCUGUUUCAAUACCAAAACUAAAAACACCACUGAUUGGAUAAUAGACAGUGGAGCCACAGAUCACAUGUGUGGACCAGCCAUCACACUAAGUGACAAAAGAGCACUAGUGAAACCAAUCAUUGUAAAUCUUCCAAACUCGCAAAUAACGACUGUGAGAUACAUUGGGAAUUACAAAAUAGACGAUCUGCAAACAUUGCACAAUGAACUACAAAUCACUGAUUUCAAUGUAAACUUGAUAUCAGUAACCAAACUUACAAAACAGUUAAAAUGUAGUUUCUCAUUCCAUCCUGAUCAUUGUUUGAUACAGGAUUCGAAGGUGAGAUUGAUUUCUAUGGGUAAAAGGAUUGAUGGACUCUACAUGCUGAAUGGAAGAAAAGAGAACCUGGAGCACCCAAGGUCAUAUUCUGUCAACAGAGAACCAUCAGCAAACAUCUGGUGCAAAAGACUGGGACACCCAUCCCAGAUUAAAUAUGAUUUAAUUAGAAAAAACAGUGUUUCUUUACCAAAAUUGGAGAAUGUAUUUUGUAAUGAAUAUCCAAUGGC
rnacentral:lncRNA from 1 species